rnacentral:rRNA from 1 species
AACGAACGCUGGCGGCAGGCUUAACACAUGCAAGUCGAACGCCCCGCAAGGGGAGUGGCAGACGGGUGAGUAACGCGUGGGAACAUACCCUUUUCUACGGAAUAGCUCUGGGAAACUGGAAUUAAUACCGUAUACGCCCUACGGGGGAUAGAUUUAUCGGGGAAGGAUUGGCCCGCGUUGGAUUAGCUAGUUGGUGGGGUAAAGGCCUACCAAGGCGACGAUCCAUAGCUGGUCUGAGAGGAUGAUCAGCCACAUUGGGACUGAGACACGGCCCAAACUCCUACGGGAGGCAGCAGUGGGGAAUAUUGGACAAUGGGCGCAAGCCUGAUCCAGCCAUGCCGCGUGAGUGAUGAAGGCCUUAGGGUUGUAAAGCUCUUUCACCGAUGAUGAUAAUGACGGUAGUCGGAGAAGAAGCCCCGGCUAACUUCGUG